rnacentral:rRNA from 1 species
GCUGAUGGUAUUUCCGGGGUAGGAGUGAAAUCCUAUAAUCCCGGGAGGACCACCAGUGGCGAAGGCGGUCGGCUAGAACGCGCCCGACGGUGAGGGACGAAAGCUGGGGGAGCGAACCGGAUUAGAUACCCGGGUAGUCCCAGCCGUAAACGAUGCGGGCUAGGUGUUGGGGCGGCUACGGGCCGCCUCAGUGCCGCAGGGAAACCAUUAAGCCCGCCGCCUGGGGAGUACGGCCGCAAGGCUGAAACUUAAAGGAAUUGGCGGGGGAGUACCACAAGGGGUGAAGCUUGCGGUUUAAUUGGAGUCAACGCCGGGAACCUUACCGGGGGUGACAGCAGGAUGAAGGCCAGAUUACAGGUCUUGCUAGACAAGUCUGAGAGGAGGUGCAUGGCCGUCGCCAGUUCGUGCCGUGAGGUGUCCUGUUAAGUCAGGCAACGAUCGAGACCCGCGCCCCUCGUUGCCAGCGGAUCCCGUUGGGAUGCCGGGCACACUAGGGUGGACCGCCGCCGAUAAGACGGAGGAAGGA